UGUUGUCCCUAUAAGACCCCAAAAAUUGUGCAGUUGAUAAUACUCUUGAUUAUUUGUCCAUAAGUUUUUGACGAUGAAUUCCUUACUGUAAAUAGUAUGUCUGGUUGGAAUGGUCAAAGCACAAUCAAACACAGUUUUACCAAAAACCGCAUACGUCACACCUGCUAGUGCAGCUCCUCCAGCGGAUGCCCUAGUUUUCCCCCAAUAAUGUCAGUCAAUUAUAAUUAACAACACCAAGCGUAAUGUAACGUAUCCACCACGAUCAGUAGCAAAAAUCUUUAAUAUGUAUUGCGGUAUCAUAAACGAAUUUACUGACUGUUUGGAUCGUAAUCGGAACACACUCCGUAAAAGUGCCAGCCCACUCUUCGGGAUACUAGCAGACAAUUUCGACAAAGAACUUGUGAGAUCAAGAAUGAAAAAUGUUUGUGAUUUGCUUCCAGGCGUUGCUAAUGAUCUUGAGUGUUUGAAAUCAGCUACAAACAACACAAACGUGAAGAGUUGUUUAUCGCAAUACACGUUACAUGUGACACAUCCAAACUUAACACUUGAUAAUUUGUGCCGGGCCAUGACUUCCCAAUCACUAUGUUUAAGGCAAUAUACUACACCCGAUCUAUGUCCUGCGUCUGUGCUUGAGUUUUAUUUAACAAAUGAGCUAGUCUUUAUUCCAACAUAUUGUCAAAGUUUCACGAAUCGGACCAUGUCACUUGAUAUGAACGCUGG